UACGAAGGGGGGCUAGCGUUGCUCGGAAUCACUGGGCGUAAAGGGUGCGUAGGCGGGUCUUUUAAGUCAGAGGUGAAAUCCUGGAGCUCAACUCCAGAACUGCCUUUGAUACUGAGGGUCUUGAGUAUGACAGAGGUGAGUGGAACUGCGAGUGUAGAGGUGAAAUUCGUAGAUAUUCGCAAGAACACCAGUGGCGAAGGCGGCUCUCUGGGGACGGUACUGACGCUGAGACGCGAAAAGCGUGGGGGAGCGAACAGGG
rnacentral:rRNA from 1 species